GGGUACUCGAGUGGCGAACGGGUGAGUAACACGUGGGUGAUCUGCCUUGCACUUCGGGAUAAGCUUGGGAAACUGGGUCUAAUACCGGAUAGGACAGCUGUUUAGUGUCAGUUGUGGAAAGUUUUUUCGGUGCAAGAUGAGCUCGCGGCCUAUCAGCUUGUUGGUGGGGUAAUGGCCUACCAAGGCGUCGACGGGUAGCCGGCCUGAGAGGGUGUACGGCCACAUUGGGACUGAGAUACGGCCCAGACUCCUACGGGAGGCAGCAGUGGGGAAUAUUGCACAAUGGGCGGAAGCCUGAUGCAGCGACGCCGCGUGGGGGAUGAAGGCCUUCGGGUUGUAAACUCCUUUCGACAGGGACGAAGCGUAAGUGACGGUACCUGUAUAAGAAGCACCGGCUAACUACGUGCCAGCAGCCGCGGUAAUACGUAGGGUGCGAGCGUUGUCCGGAAUUACUGGGCGUAAAGAGCUCGUAGGUGGUUUGUCGCGUCGUCUGUGAAAUUCCGGGGCUUAACUCCGGGCGUGCAGGCGAUACGGGCUGACUUGAGUGCUGUAGGGGAGACUGGAAUUCCUGGUGUAGCGGUGAAAUGCGCAGAUAUCAGGAGGAACACCGAUGGCGAAGGCAGGUCUCUGGGCAGUAACUGACGCUGAGGAGCGAAAGCAUGGGUAGCGAACAGGAUUAGAUACCCUGGUAGUCCAUGCCGUAAACGGUGGGCGCUAGGUGUAGGGAGCUUCCACGUCUUCUGUGCCGUAGCUAACGCAUUAAGCGCCCCGCCUGGGGAGUACGCCGCAAGGCUA
rnacentral:rRNA from 1 species